GGGGUCACGCUGCAGCUGUCGAGGGAAGCUGCUGAAUGCGCUGAGGUGAGGGGAGAAGUGGAAGAGCUCACAUCACAUCUUCUCAGCUGACCAUGAUGGCUCCACCCAGCAAACAAUAUCCCACUUGGACCGCUGCAGAGCUACUGGAUGUGAUAAGUGUUUGGGGAGAGGAGGCUGUGCAGUCACAGCUGUGCUUGAGCCGUAGGAAUUUUGAUAUCUACAGCCAGAUUGCAUGCAGCUUGCACAAAAGAGAUAUGCCUGAGACAUGCUGCUGUGCAAAGCAAAGGUGAAGGAGCUGAAGAACGCAUGCCACAAGGCAAGGGAGGCAAACCGUCGCUCUGGUGCUGCGCCUCAGACCUGCUGCUUUUAUAAGGAAUUGGAUGCUAUCCUAGGUAGUGACCCCCACCUCCACCACAGAGAACCCCGUGGAUACUUUGGCGGGUCUGGAGCCUUUGGAAAGUUGACCUAACCUAGAGGAGGAAGUCAUUGAUGAAGAGGUGGAGGCUGAAGAUGUGGAGCCCUAUGAUGCGGCUAGUCAGGAGCUGUUCUCCACUCCAGAAGUGUCUAGCCAGUCUCUGCAAUCGCCGUCUGGCGAGCCAGAAGCAGGCUAGGAGAGCCCAGACUUCACCUUGAGAACCAACCCUCCAACAGAAGUAGAGCGUCUGCGCAAGAUAAGAAAAUGGCUGAGACGGACCAAGGAAGAUAUGUUCUGGGUGAUGCUGCAGCAGUCAGAGGUAGAAAACACCGAACACAAGAAGUUGAUGGAAAGCAACAAGAAGGAAAGAGAAGAGAAGGAUUUUUACAACAGGGAUGCCACAGAGCGGCUGAUUAAAGUUCUGGAGUGUCAAACCAACAUGCUCCAGACUCUCGUAACACCUUCUCACCCACCAACAACUUUUCCUGCAGGUUCUUGGUUUCUGUGAAGAUGGCUACAGCAUCAAGUCUUUUUACAGAGCUUUGGUGUUAUCUUCUGGCUGUCCUCUGUGUACCUUUAUAGGUACUUCAUAUGUACCUUCAAGACAAUAGUGACUCCCAGGAGCAGGGGAUAGAUAUCCUGACAUCUAGUUAUGCCUUCAAGGAAAUUAGCUGGCCUUAUUGAUGAAAACUGUCUUUCAAUGAUUCAGAAAUCCCUACAGAGAUCACACAAAGGAAGAUGUGACAAAUGUAACAGGAAUCUAUAUUCCCUAAUUGCUAAUAUGUCUCCUUCUGGGUAGCAUUGCAUUUCAUCCUUAUCUUUAUUUCCCCUGCACCCCGCAUGUCCAGUUUAGUUUCCCUAAAAAUCUCCUGUUCAUUUGCAAAACCAGGACAAUGUGCAUCAUCUAUUUAUGCUGUAUGUAAAGAAGUUGAAGUGAAGGGUAUUGUAUGACUCUAACUUCCUUUAUCUAUAGAGGAUUUUCAGUAGGUGGGGAUGAGGGAGAAAAAGAGCACUAAUAAAACAAGAUUGCUUUGUUAUUCAGUUCCAGAGAGGGUAACAUUGGUGGGCCUAUGACCUAUUUUGGCUUGAAAGAUUUGUAAAAAUAUUGUAUUCACAUUUCUUCUCUUUUCAGUACCUGUGUUUUCUUCUAAGCAGUUGGUCAUACUGUUGCAGGAUUUUAUGGACUCUUGUAAAUACCUCUUUCAGGAAUUUCAAAAGAGAUUCUUGGGCUUUCCUAACCAUGGCCAUCGAAGACUCUAACUAACUCAUCAUAUCAUAUAACACCUCAUACCAUAUAACCACUCUGUCUGGGAUUUCCUCUGUGAUUACGCCUUAGCUACUUGCAGGAAAGAAAUUCUCUUUGAUCUGCAGCUGUAGGAUUACUGAAGCUUUACCUUGACUGAUUUUUUUUUUUAACAUCGGUCAUCCAUACUAAAAAAAAAUCCCAUUGUGUUUCUAUAGGUUUUCAGAUUAAAAACUGGCCUAUGGAUGAGCAAGCUGGAGGGAUUGUUGUUUAUACAAUAAAAUAAUCUUUGGAAUAGAACCCCAUGUAGCGAGCAUACACAGGAGAAUGCUCUUUAACAAUGUACUUUGCUAAAUAUAGCAGGUAACGAGUGGAAAUUCAAAGAAGCAUCCAAUUAAGCAAAUUUACAAACCUUUGCAAUGUGUUUGUCUGCAAUAUCUGCUUUGUUCAUGAUUUUAAUUAGAGGACUUAACUUGCUUCUCACCAUUAAAACGAAUCCACCCCGUCUAAAUGUGGCAGUCUUAAAUAAAAGACUUUCUUGUAAAUCUGGCACCCUCCUACUCCCCUUCAGCUGGGAGACAUUUACUGCAUGUUUUCCACUUCCAGCGUAUAAUUAGUGAAAUGUGGAGGAUGCUCAUGUUGUUCAGGACCAAGAUUCGUUUCGAAAACUGUUAAACACAAACCUGUUUGCCUAGGAUUAGCAAAAGCUAUUUCUGCUGUAGUUUUCAGCCAAACAUAUGGCAGCAUUAACUCUGAAGGAAUAUUGAUUCAUUUUUCAUUUGUCACUCUUGCCCAUAGAUAAAUAUUCAUCUAUAGACAAAUAUUUUUCUUUCUAAUAAAGAGAAAGGAGAUAAGUCUUUAAAAGGUGACAUUCAGUAGCCAGUCAUGUGAGGUCAGACAGGUGAGGUGUUUUGAUACUGAUGAACCAUCUACCCCUCCCCUUCUAGCUACAACAGACAGCAUCAUGCAACAUGGAUAGGAGACUUAGGUCGAAAACCUAGUCCUACUGAAGGGAAUGGCAGAACACCCAUUACCUUCAGUGGGGCCAGGAUUUCACUAAUAGGUUCUGGUAUUUACAGCUCUGCCAUUGAUAUGCUUUAUGACUUAAGUUAAAGCCCUUCUCUUCUGUGCCUCAGUUUCUUUACUUGAUGGGAUAAGGACUAUCAACUGCAUUCUUGUAGAUCAGCUUACCUGGUGGCAUCUUCCCAGACCUUCAAGAGUUGUUUUCCUGCUAAUCUAAAUCUCUAGGCCUCUGAACAACCAAUAUGAGGCAAAGAAGACCUUCUUUUAUUAAUUUUCACUAAUACAGAUAUAUGCUAUUUAUUUUCCUUUGUAAAGUGAUUUGAGAUCUACAAAUGAAAAAUUUAGCAUUGAAAGCACUGUUAAGUGUGUGUUUGAAAAA